rnacentral:lncRNA from 1 species
UAUCACUACUGUCUGCCAUAGAUACACUUCCCACACACAAACGGGAGUCCAACAGUGUUUCUGAACAAAGUUUUUAUUAAAUGCCAGGAUUUAUGUUAGAUUUAAGGGGCGUAACUGUGAGCAAGACAGACACAGCGCCUGCCCUCAAGGAGCGCGCAGUCGCCUUAUCAGAAAGAAUAAAACAGGAGUAGGAUGAACUAAAUACCCGUAAUUCCGGGAUAGAAGGUGGUAAAUGUUAUGAGAGCGGCAUAGAGCUUAAAGAAUGGAGACGUGACCUCCGACAGGGCGAACUGGGGACAGCCCCACGGAGGAGGUGGCGUUGGAGCUGGGCUCUGAGUGAGCUGGGCACUUGAGGAUGUCCAGCUUUCCUUCCAGCUGGAGGGAAGAAAAGAAUCAAAAGCAAGGAGUGGAAAUUGAGACUCAGCUGCCUACAAGCAUGUAAGGAUAAUGCGUGGGAAGAACUUGACCCAAAGCCUGGAAGAGAGUCAGCCUGCAGGCGGUGUUGUCCAUGAUGAGGGUCAUUGCUGUGCAACGCGAAUGUGCCGGGAGCUGGCAAUUCUGUCUGCUGCUCAAAGCUCAGCAUUCAUUCUGACCUCCCACAGGUGGAGGCAGCGCUGGGGGAGGUUCGUAGCCCGAAGAGGCAUGCCUGGAAAUGAAGCUGGCACAGUGAGCUUCUUCACUAUCAGUAAGAGGCUUGCUUCCCCCUUUUUCUCUAAAUAUAAACCCAACUGUCAAUUGCUUCACAGUCUUCAUGUCUGCCGCAGGAGCCACCCACAAGUCCAAAGGUUACCGGGCUGGCUGAGGGCUGGUCCUUAGCGUGAUCCGCCCAGCCCAGCCCCGCUCCCUGGAGACACAGCGGCCAUCAACAGAGGAAUGGAUAAACAAGGUGUGGUAUAUCCAUACGAUGGAAUAUUAUUUGCCCAUAAAAAAGGAAUGAAGUUCUGAGACAUGCCUCCACAUGGAUGAACCUUGAAAACAUUAGGCUAAGUGAAAGAAGCCAGUAACGAAAGGGCAAAUGUUAUAUGAUUCCGUGUAUAUAAAAUGCCUGUAAUAGGAAAAUUCAAAGAGAUGGAAAGUAGAUUAGAAGUGACCAGGGCUGGAGAGAGGGGAGAAUGGGGAGUUACUGCUUAGUAGGUGCAGAGUUUCUGUUUGGGGUGAUG